AGUGAACGCUGGCGGUAGGCCUAACACAUGCAAGUCGAACGGCAGCACAGUAAGAGCUUGCUCUUACGGGUGGCGAGUGGCGGACGGGUGAGGAAUACAUCGGAAUCUACUUUUUCGUGGGGGGUAACGUAGGGAAACUUACGCUAAUACCGCAUACGACCUACGGGUGAAAGCAGGGGAUCUUCGGACCUUGCGCGAUUGAAUGAGCCGAUGUCGGAUUAGCUAGUUGGCGGGGUAAAGGCCCACCAAGGCGACGAUCCGUAGCUGGUCUGAGAGGAUGAUCAGCCACACUGGAACUGAGACACGGUCCAGACUCCUACGGGAGGCAGCAGUGGGGAAUAUUGGACAAUGGGCGCAAGCCUGAUCCAGCCAUACCGCGUGGGUGAAGAAGGCCUUCGGGUUUUAAAGCCUUUUUGUUGGGAAAGAAAAGCAGCAGGUUAAUACCCCGCUGUUCUGACGGUACCCAAAGAAUAAGCACCGGCUAACUUCGUG
rnacentral:rRNA from 1 species